UUUCAAGGCUAAAUUACAAAACUGUCUGCCCUUGUCCUGUUUUGUAUAAACUUGCUGGUUAUGCCACUAGAAAGACCACCUCCCUUCAACCAAUUGUAUAAAUGUACUCAUUGUUUGACGUUCCUUCUUUGGACACUAGUCCAUUGAGCCAGCAUUCACCUAAAACCUAGAAUAAAAUCCUCCUGUUUCCCAGUGGUCUUUUUUGUCUCUUGAAUUCUGCAACAUUUCUGGUGACCACAAAGGGACUGGAGAUAACAAAGUUGCUUUCUCCUUUGCCUGCAGGCCCGAGAAGGGCUGAAGCUGCAAGAGUCCUGAGAUCUCUGAUGCCACCAGGUUGAGACUGCAUCUCAGAGAGAGAAUCAGCCCUCCUGCAGGCUGGAGACCUCUCCCCUGUCAGCACAAAAGGAACCUGUGAGGAUUCAGGAUGAUUCUGGAGGAGCAGCAUGCUACAGGACCACAGUGACCAGAGAAGGAGGUCAGAGCAAUAACCCAAACAUGCUACGCAUUGCCUAUAACUCACCCUAAUGAUGUGGUGUUUGUUUGUUUGUUCGUGGAUCCUACCAGCUUGAUGUCAUCAGUUCAGAGGACCAGCAAGUUGUCUUGGGGAUGGAUAAGAUGGUCAAGAUCACUAUGUACUGAAUUAUGGAAGAGUCAGAAAAUUCAGGUAACAUGAGACAGUACAAUAAAUGUAUGUCAUUGUAUGUUACUUCUGUUGAUUUUUGUUAAUUAAGCUAAAGAAAGAGUCUCCCUGUCUUCUUUGAGUUCCUUCCUAACACUCCUUCAGAGAAGGCAUAAUCACUUGAACCUCUAAUAUCCUUAUUAGUCUUUCCUAAUAUUGAACUUGGUACACUGGCAGUAUAUAAGCAUUCCAGUUGCUGGUCUCAUAUUGGUAUUAUCAGUUUUUCCCUUUAACUUUAGCCUUUCUAAAGGUGUAGUGCAGUUCUGUGUUGUCUUGGAUUCUGCAUUUGUCUAUUUGGCAUUCGUUAAUCACAGGACCACACAAAUUUUGUGUAUGUUUCUUCUGGAUCCAGCUUUUGCAAGCAAAUCCUAUUCCAAACCUCUAACCAAUCCCAAAUCCAUAUCCCCAAUUUUUUCCUUUUAAUACAGGGUCUUGCUAUGUAGUUCAUGCUGACCUCGAGCUCACUAUGUAGCCCAAGAUGGCCUCAAACUCUCAAUGAUUCUCCUGCAUCAGCCUCCUGAGUGCUAGGAUUACAAGUGUGUGCCACCGUACCCAGCUCCUUACUUCUUGUUUGUUUUUUCAGUAUUAGGGAUUGAAUCCAGGGUUUUGUGCAUUCUAGGUAAGUACUCUAUCAUCUAGCUACAUCCUCAGUUAGAAUGUUUUACUGGAGACAGAGUUGUUGAGUUCCCCAGGCUAGCCUCAAAAUCCCCCUGCCUCAGCCCCAAUUAGGUGGGAUUACAGGGGUGUGCUGUUCUGCCUGGCCCAAAACACCUCCUUACCUGUCACAUAGCAAGGAGAUAAUUCACCUACCCGAAAUCACCCAGGGCCAGGUACCAGACCACCCCUAGAACCUAGACCCUUCACCAUUAUUCCAAGUGGCCAAUCUUAAUCUGUUUCCUUCCUGCCUUGUUUCCCCUGCAGGAACCCCAAUAAAGGCUAUUACUCAUGUUUUCCUCUUGCUCCUUACUAAAGCUGGCGUUCCCCAGCUGCCCUGCUGACAUGCUCUGGAAGAAAUUAAAAAUAUUUUGGUACUGGGGAUCGAACUCAGGACCUUGAG